rnacentral:rRNA from 1 species
GACUCUGGGUGGUGGAUGACUUGGCUCGUGUGUCGACUAAGAAAGCAGCUAGCUGUAGGAGUUAUUCUGAAUGGCAGGACACAUUAAUCGCUAACAGUUUGAAUGUACUUGUGGCUCUGGGUUUAUCUUGGGGCUGUGCUUCUCUGAGUGUUG